GAUGAACGCUGGCGGCGUGCCUAACACAUGCAAGUCGAGCGAUCUUCUUCGGAAGAGAGCGGCGGACGGGUGAGUAACGCGUGGGUAACCCGCCCUGUACACACGGAUAACAUACCGAAAGGUAUGCUAAUACGAGAUAAUAUGCUUUUAUCGCAUGGUAGAAGUAUCAAAGCUCCGGCGGUACAGGAUGGACCCGCGUCUGAUUAGCUAGUUGGUAAGGUAACGGCUUACCAAGGCGACGAUCAGUAGCCGACCUGAGAGGGUGAUCGGCCACAUUGGAACUGAGACACGGUCCAAACUCCUACGGGAGGCAGCAGUGGGGAAUAUUGCACAAUGGGCGAAAGCCUGACGCAACAACGCCGCGUGAGCGAUGAAGGCCUUCGGGUCGUAAAGCUCUGUCCUCAAGGAAGAUAAUGACGGUACUUGAGGAGGAAGCCCCGGCUAACUACGUGCCAGCCGCCGCGGUAAGAC
rnacentral:rRNA from 1 species